AAUGCAGGUAGGCUAUGAUGGUGUUUGCCUGAGCUGGGAGCCUCACUUCCUAGGAUCCAGUUUUCUAGAAGCUCCAGGAAGCCAUUUCUAUGGAAAGUUUGCUACCUUCAAAGUGCUGUCAGAAAGUGACAUGAUGCUACACAUAGAAAAUCUGAAACAUGCUGCCAGAAAGCUACUAGAGUUCAUCAAUGAAUUUGGUUUGGAAAUUCUGUAUCAUCUUCAUUUUCACCAAAUUGUUGAGAGCACAGAACACAUGGACAUAGAAGAUGAGAAUCCGCUUGUUUUCACUCCUUCCUACACAGGACAGAGAUUGGAAAAAAUAUGAAUCAAGAAUUUUAAGUGUUAAUUUACUUCUACAUUGUGGGAUAAUGUGAUUUUUCUCUUUUUUAUGUACCUGCAUUUUCUGAAUAUUUUACAGCAAACUUGUGUUAUUCCUUUAAAAUUAAACAAAGUGAAGCAAUUUGUAUAAUUGCAUUAUUUUUCUCACAAGAAGUUAUAUAAAACCCCACUAGGUCCCAUUCUGGUCCUCAGCUUUGAAUUGUUUCAUUAUGCAGAGGGGAAAAGCUGAGAAUUUAUCUCUGGGGUCCUUAGGAAUUUUCUCUAUGCAAUUUGUAAUGGAUUCGGUUGGAUGUCCAAUAUAAACUUCACUCCAUGGCUCUCCUUCCUCCCUGUCCUCGUUCUUGUGUGAAGACAUAAAAAUAUGACUUUCCAGAAUUAGUUUACAUUUCAGCCCAAAGAAAUGGUUUCAGUGGAAAUAGCUAAAGAGUGUGCUUGUAUCUGUCUUAUUGACUAAUUCUUUUUCCCUUAAUUGAAAAACAAAGAGGAAAGAAGAAGAAAAGAAAGAAGAAAAAAAAAAAAAGAACUGUACUGGUUUAGAAAACACUUUUCAAGAUCGCUGUCUCCAACUGUGCUUGUUCUCGCUGUCUGUUCUGGUCCAUUAGAUAAACAUGGUGUUCAAGAGCUGGGCGGUUGUUGAUAUAUUUGGCAACACUGAUAAUGUGAUCUAUGUUUAGGAGGAAGUGGGUUCGUCAUUCUGCAGGGGCAUAGGUUUUCUGAAAGUGAUUGUUCCUUUUUCAAGGAAAAGUUAGGUCCUUGAAGAGCAAGUUUUCACUGAGAGUUUGAGCAUUUUUAAUUUGUCAUCUGUACUUUUUUUAUGUUGUUCCUAUUGGAAUUUUUGAUUAAUCUGUGGGCUUAUUCUCAGAGCAGCAGCAGGUACUUACUGAAAAGAAAUGCAAACCCAGUUGCUUCUGACUCUAGAGGGUAUAAUUAGUGUAAUAAGGAAAAUGGAGGGGCUUGUCAUCUUAGCAUAGCUCUUUAAUAUCCAUCAGUCAUGAUUUUUAGUGUUUUCAUUUGUGAACUUCGUUUAAAAAUAUACAUACAAAAGAACCUUAAAUCUCAGACUUCUCUCUCUCAUAAAUAUGU